rnacentral:rRNA from 1 species
GCUGGCGGCGUGCCUAAUACAUGCAAGUCGAACGGUCUUUCUAUGGAAGCUUGCUUCCACUGAGAAGAUAGUGGCGAACGGGUGAGUAACACGUGGGUAACCUGCCCAUAAGAGGAGGAUAACAUCCGGAAACGGGUGCUAAUACCGCAUAGUUUUUCUUGAUCGCAUGAUCGGGAAAGGAAAGACGGCCUUUGUGCUGUCGCUUAUGGAUGGACCCGCGGCGUAUUAGUUAGUUGGUGAGGUAACGGCUCACCAAGACGAUGAUACGUAGCCGACCUGAGAGGGUGAUCGGCCACAUUGGGACUGAGACACGGCCCAAACUCCUACGGGAGGCAGCAGUAGGGAAUCUUCCGCAAUGGACGAAAGUCUGACGGAGCAACGCCGCGUGAGUGAAAGAAGGUUUUCGGAUCGUAAAACUCUGUUGUCAGAGAAGAACAAGUUGGAGAGUAACUGCUCCAGCCUUGACGGUAUCUGACCAGAAAGCCACGGCUAACUACGUGCCAGCCGCCGC